rnacentral:rRNA from 1 species
UAAUACUAGCGGUCCAAGUCGCAGCCAUUUUUAUUGGGUCUAAAACAUCCGUAGCUUGCUUAAUAAGUUCUUUGUGAAAUCUUAUCUCUUAAAGAUGAGGCAUGCGAGGAAUACUGCUAAGCUAGUGACUGGAAGACGUAGGAAGUAUGGUCAAAGUAGUGGUAAAAUAUUUUAAUCUUGGCUAGACUCACAAUAGCGAAGGCAUCCUACGAGUACAGUUCUGACAGUAAAGGAUGAAGGCUAGGGGCGCAAAACGGAUUAGAUACCCGUGUAGUCCUAGCAGUAAACUCUGCACACUAAACAUUAGUACCUCCUCGAGAGGUGUUAGUGCUGAAGGGAAGCCGAAGAGUGUGCUACCUGGGAAGUAUAGCCGCAAGGCCG